ACACACUCCUCCACCUGAUCCCAACUCCAAACAUAUUUCGGGCGAGAGUGAAGGGAGAGACAAAGGAGAGAUGGGCGGCGUAUAUGUGGCGUCACGGUGGUCCUUAGGCGGCGGCUUAGGGCUGGGAAUUUAUCCGGCGACCUAGGGUUUAGUAGAUUGUCGUGACCACCAAUCUUCCGCUGUCGGUCGUCGUCUGAUCCGUCGUAUCAUCAUCAUUGUAAUCAUCGGUAGCCAGGUGUAAGCAACUUUCAGAGUUAUCGUUUUGUUUUUUUUUUUGUUUUCCCUGGUAUUAUUGAUGUGGGUAGUUGCAUAGUGUGACCAAAGAUUUGAAAAAUCACAAACCCUACAACACAAUUUGGAAUGAAUCCAUCGCUAGAUCUUCAUCCACCAUGGUAAUUGGUAAGUAUUCUCCUUCAAUUGAAGGCUUGUAUCUUUGCAGUUGUUUCCCCUACAUGAUACAGUAAAAACACUCAAUGAUAUUUUAUCUUUCUGUUAAAUAAUAUGUUGGGACAAAUAUGGAUGAAUUAGUUAUUAGCCCAGUAGUCUUUGUAAUACCUUACGCCGGAAAAAAAAGAGUUUGAUAAAAAGUUAUAGAUUUUCAACUGUCUAUACUAAUAAGAGUGUGUGUGAAUCGGGUUUUGUUUUGGCUCCGAAUUCGGUGUUUGGAUGCAGUGAAUGUGUUUUGUGGAUUUUCAGGUCACCGUGUAUAAUACAAAGUUCCAUCCCUCAUCAAACCAAGAGUUAAGCUUAGAUGAGAGAUUUCUAAGUAAUCUGAGUAAAGUGAAGAAGCCGCAUUUGGAUCAACUUUUGUAAGAACCCUAAAGUUGAGUUUAGGGGAACGGUCUCUAAGUAGAUCAGGUAAAAUCAACAACUAUGAAUCAGUGAGUUCUAGCAUGUAUUAAAAAGAUUUAUUCACAAAUUAGUUUCGUUCCUGGUAAGAUCAGUUACAUAAAUUUUCAAAUCGUGUCAUAUUUGCUAAUUGGUUUAUGUAGAUCUUGAUUGAUUCCAUUGUAUUCUGGUAUCUUUGUUUCUAUGUUACAGAGUGCUUUAUUCAUGCGUGAUUCUAUAUCUUUUUUAAGUAUAUUAUGGGUUUUUUUUAUUUCAUUAUAUGGAUGAACAAAUGAAUAGUCAAACUUACAUCAACAAAAUGGUUGAAAGUGCAGUUUGUUAUUCUAAAUUCCAUGAAAAUAUGUGGAUAUUGAGAAGAGGAAGUUGGAACACUUGGAAAUGGAAUCAACGAAGAAAGUGUUUACAGCGUCAACAAUCGGGGAGGCCAGAUGGCAAAUUAGCAAGUUUAGAUAUUUUGUUUAUAUUUUUUCAAUUUGGUUUAUUGUAGGCACAAAUUAGCUAUGCAAUGGGAGGCAUAUAUAUGCAGUUUCUUUUUUGAAGAAUCAAGGCCCGAUCUUACCCAAGUUCUCUAUUCGAGGUACUUGACCAUAUUCUACAAUCUACACCAUAUGUGUACAUAAGUGUAUACAAGGGUGUUAAAUGGGUUGAACCAACACGAAUUAAAACUCAAAAAUGCUUAUGAUGAUGUCCUUUUCUCAUGGCACCAAGUAGUUUGGUAAUAUUGCGAACAAGGGCUUUGUAUAAACUCUGUCGCUUUUUUUUUUUAACAAAUUUAGUCCACUGGAUCAAUGCUUGAUAUACAAAUUGAUCAUUUUUGCAAAUCGAACCGUGAAAUAGACAUUGAGUUUCAUGUGCGAAUAAUUAAGGAAAUAGUAGUUUUAUAGAAAAUGGUCAAAAAUACUUGCCACACUACGAUUACUUCCAAGACAAGGUCAAUGUUGAGAAACGUGGCGAGACAAUAUUACCCCAAUCAGAGAAACUCAACUCAAAAUCGAUGAAGACUCUUAAUUGUGCAAAAAAGUGAUAAGCUGGUAUGUCAACUCGCCAAGAUAGAAACUGUGUACUCUAAUAGUGUUAAAAAAAGGCAUUACAUUGCUUUUGAUUUUUGAAAUUUGAACACACAUAUUUAUACUACAUUUAUAUAUAGAUAAGACACGACACUUUAUAUUUAGAUUAGACACUGCACUCUGCACAGAACAGAAGGCUCAUACGCUCUGUGAGAGUCAAAAGUGUCAAGAUAACAAAAUUUACGGGUCAGACGGGGUUGGUAACGGGUCAAACAGGUUCCGGUUCAAGCUGGUCAUUAUGGUAGAAGUCAACAUAAUUGAGUUAAGUUGUUUUGAUCCAUAUAGUUUUUUUCCUUUAUUUUAUCUUUUUUAUAAAUAAUGCAUCAUUUUCAUACUAUCUCGAUUGAAAAUUUCCUGAUUCUUUGUUUCUUUUCAGAAUGUUCGAGUAAUACCAUCACCAAUGGAGAACACAUUCUUUACAACUCCGCUAACAAAGGCAGCUAAAAGAUUUUGGGGGUAUAGAAUUUUGAGUUUAGGGAAGUCGGGACUUGAUUUUUGGUAAUAUUGCUAGAUGUCAAUUUUUUUUGUGUAUAACAUUUGUUGAUUGAUAUGGGUUUAGCUAAAGCUUGAAUCU